rnacentral:rRNA from 1 species
CGGCGGACGGGUGAGUAACGCGUGGGUAACCUGCCUCAUACAGGGGGAUAACAGUUAGAAAUGACUGCUAAUACCGCAUAAGACCACAGCACCGCAUGGUGCGGGGGGUAAAAACUCCGGUGGUAUGAGAUGGACCCGCGUCUGAUUAGCUAGUUGGUAAGGUAACGGCUUACCAAGGCGACGAUCAGUAGCCGACCUGAGAGGGUGACCGGCCACAUUGGGACUGAGACACGGCCCAA